CCUAUCAGUUACUGAUCGUUGAAUACACCAGUUCUCCACAGAUCACUGAAGUUAAGCAACGUUGUGCGUGUUUGGUAUCCGGAUAGUUGACCAUCAGGGCAAUCGCGUGCUGCUGGCU
rnacentral:rRNA from 1 species